GGCUGAUUCAGGUGUGGAGCUCGUUACAUCGCUGGAAGACUUACGAUGCAUCGGCAGGAUGAGCCUACCAUGGAGCUUACAUAUUCAUACCCUUCUUUUUGUGAAACCGCUUGCUUCUUGCUACAAAAAGCAAUCCAUUUGGUCUUGAGGCACAAGAGUAGCAGCGCAAGGUACCAAGAUGAAAUAAGCAAUGUGCAAAGUCGUGAUAUGUAGAGACGCAAUUGACACCUGCUGCAACAUCAAUGCUUGUUUCUACUUCUCCCUCCUCGAUUGGCCUCACUCGACGAGAGGGAACCACAUCUUCACUUUCCGUUUGUUGCGCUGUCAAAGAUUUGGUCGUGUUGUUGCUGCUGCUUCUCAUCCAUAAGUUCUUUGCGGUGCAGUGUUCGUUAGUACAACUGCCUACCCUGCUUACUUGGUGAGUUUGCAGGCUAAUCUUCUCUCUUUACUUUUACUGAUUGUCCAUGGUUCCUGUUGUAUUGCAAUUGUUUUUUCCCUAUAAAUUCCAUUUGUAUUCUACACUACUGUAGGUGGCAUGUGCAAGGAUCAUCAUUGAUGCAUGUUUAGUGUCCUUAUGCACGUUUUAAUUGUUUGGUGGUAGCCUAUAUAGUGAUUAAGGUAUCAUUGGAUGGAUGAAUGCCGCCAUUUGCACUCUACACAACCUGUAAGUGGCAUGUGUCAAGAUCAUUAUUGAUGCAUGUUUAGUGUCCUUUUGUGGGCUUCAAUUUUUUGGUGGUAGGCUACGUAGUAAUCAAGACAUCAUUGGAUCGAUGAAUGUCGUCUCCGGUACUACAGUGCCUGCAAGUAUAUAGUUCCUUCCCUGUAAAUUGAUAUUAACUGUGUGCUCACAUUUUCUGUGAUUAUUGCAAUGAACAUUCAUUCCUACUCUACAUAGUGGUCCACACAUGAUCACAUAUAUAGUUCCUUCCCUGCAUUCUUGGAUCUGUGAUUUUACGCUUGCUUCCUUUU